rnacentral:rRNA from 1 species
GAGUUGAUCCCUGGCUCAGGAUGAACGCUGACAGAAUGCUUAACACAUGCAAGUCGACUUGAAGCAACUUCGGUUGUGGAAAGUGGCGGACGGGUGAGUAACGCGUAAAGAACUUGCCCUUCAGUCUGGGACAACCAUUGGAAACGAUGGCUAAUAACCGGAUAUUAUGGAACUCUCGCAUGGGAGGAUCAUGAAAGCUAUAUGCGCUGAAGGAGAGCUUUGCGUUCCAUUAGCUAGUUGGUGAGGUAACGGCUCACCAAGGCGACGAUGGAUAGCCGGCCUGAGAGGGGUGAUCGGGUUACAAGGGGACUGAGACACGGCCCUUACUCCUACGGGAGGCAGCAGUGGGGAAUAUUGGACAAUGGACCAAAAGUCUGAUCCAGCAAUUCUGUGUGCACGAUGAAGGUUUUCGGAUCGUAAAGUGCUUUCAGUUGGGAAGAAGAAAGUGACGGUACCAACAGAAGAAGCGACGGCUAAAUACGUG